GCAGAGCUCUUUUCACUUAUUGUCUGCAAAAACUCGUUGUAAUCCUCUUCAAUCUGCCAGCAUUGUAUGCCUUCUGAAGCAUUGUUGUUUCACCCUUUCCUGACUCAAGAAACCUGAAGAUAAACGGCCGCAUGCUGUGACAUGGGCCUGGAUGGUGAUACAUCUUCUUCAAGCUGCCUGACUGAAUACUGUGGCCUUCAGUGGUACCGGAAGCAAGGUCCUUACCUGGGAGUACAGCAACACUCUCUCUGUCUCGCAUCCAUUCUGUAAACAUGUACUGUAUGUAACCACUCAAAUUCAUACAAACUGCUACGGACACAAUCGCUGACUUAUUUUCACUUUGUCUACUUGUACCAUUCUUCAAUCAUGUCUGGGAUAUAUAUUUUAGUUGACACACCUGUUUGAUGUCUGAUAUACAUGAAUACAAAUGUAUUCACCCUGGACAUAAGACUUGCAUUUACUUCAGAAUAAUACGUUCUAAAGUGUUGUCUUUUUGUUUAAGUUACCACAGACAUUAGUGUCAAGACCAACGUGACAAACAUGCU